GAUGAACGCUGGCGGCGUGCUUAACACAUGCAAGUCGAACGGAAAGGCUCCUGCUUGCAGGGGUACUCGAGUGGCGAACGGGUGAGUAACACGUGGGUGCUCUGCCAUGCACUUCGGGAUAAGCCUGGGAAACUGGGUCUAAUACCGGCUAGGACGAUGGUUUGGAUGCCAUUGUGGAAAGGUUUUUCGGUGUGGGAUGAGAUCGCGGCCUGUCAGCUUGUUGGGGGGGUAAUGGCCUACCAAGGCGUCGACGGGUAGCCGGCCUGGGAGGGGGGACGGCCACGUUAGAACUGGAAUACGGCCCGGACUCCUACGGGAGGCAGCGGUGGAGAAUGUUGCACAAUGGGCGGAAGCAUGAUGCAGCGACGCAGCGUGGGGGAUGACAGCCAUCGGGUUGUAUACUACUGUCGCUAGAGACGAAGCGCAAGUGACGGUACCUGGAGAAGAAGCACCGGCUAACUACGUG
rnacentral:rRNA from 1 species